rnacentral:rRNA from 1 species
UACUAAUAUUUAAUAUAAACUAAAUAUAAUAAAAAAAAUAAUUUUAAAUCUUCUUAAUUAGUAAAUAUUAUUAAAAUAAAUUUAAAAGGUGAUAGAAAAAUAGUAUUGUAAAAGAAAUUUUUAAAACAAAUAUUUUCUUUUAAAGAAGAUUUUAAAAGUUGUAUCUUGUGUAUCAUAGGUGAUUAAAAUUAUAUUUAAAUAAAUUCAUCUCGAAAAAAAAAGAGCUAAGUUAUUAUUUAAGUUUUUAUUGCAAUAAAAUUUAAAAUAAAUAACUUAGAGGUGAUAUAUUAUUCGGGUUUUUAUAUCUAGUUUUUAAUAAAAUGAAUUGAAUUCAUUUUAUAUUUACAAUUAAAUAUAAAAUAAGAAAAUAAAGGUAAAGCUUUAUUUUCAAAAAAUUCUAAAAUAGGAAGUUAAUCUAAAUAUUAAAUAAAAUUAGAUUUUAUAGUAGUCAUAUUAAUAUUGUUUUAUAACUAAUCACAUUAACUAAUAAAAAUUUAUUUAACUUCUAUUUACACUAAUUAAAAUUAAUUUAAAAUAAAAACAAAUUAGUUAUAAUAAUCUCAUUAGUAUAUAAUUUAAUAUAAAUUAUAAUAUAAAUUAAAAUUAAAAUUUUUAAUAUUUAUUGGUUUAUAAAAGAAAUUCGGCAAAUAAAGUUUCCGCCUGUUUAACAAAAACAUGUCUAUAUGAAGAUAUAUAAAGUCUAACCUGCCCACUGAAUAUAUUUAAAGGGCCGCAGUAUUUUGACUGUGCGAAGGUAGCAUAAUCAUUUGUUUUUUAAUUGAAAACUUGUAUGAAUGGUUGAACGAGAAAUAAACUGUCUCUUAUUAAAAAAAAUUGAAUUUUACUUUUAAGUGAAAAGGCUUAAAUAAUUUUAAGGGACGAUAAGACCCUAUAAAUCUUUAUAUAUCUUUUAUAUAUUUCUAUUUAUGUGUUUAUAAAAAUAUAUAAAAUAUAAUAUUAUAUUGGGGUGAUAAGAAUAUACAAUUAACUAUUUUAAUUUAAUAACAAUUAUUUUUGAUUUUAUUUAAGAUCCUUUUUUAAGAUUAAAAGACAAAGUUACUUUAGGGAUAACAGCGUUAUUUUUUUUAAGAGUCCUUAUUAUAAAAAAAGUUUGCGACCUCGAUGUUGAAUUAAAAUAAUCCAUAUGGUGUAGCAGUUAUAUAGGAAAGUCUGUUCGACUUUUAAAUUUUUACAUGAUUUGAGUUCAGACCGGCGUGAGCCAGGUUGGUUUCUAUCUUUUAAUAACUCUUAAAUUAUUUUAGUACGAAAGGAUUUGAUAAUUUAAAUAAUUUAACUCUUAGAUUAUUAUUACUUCUUAAAAUAGUGAUUGGGGGGUUGAUGUUUGUUUUCCCCCGAAAAAGAAAA